CCACACUGAAGCUUUUCCUCUGAAAAAGGAAAAUAAUGUGACCAAAUAAUUUAUCAUCCAUCCAAGAACAUUUUUGAGUACUCUUAAAAAUUACACCAGAACCACAGGAAUAAACCACAGCUGCUCUGGAAGGGUCCUGGGCAAGCUGGACCUAAGAGCACCCCAGAAAUGAAAGUCUUUGUUUCUUUUUAAAAAAUUGUUGACAUCACUGAACAGAGCUCAGUGUGCAGCCCACUGUAUCAAGUCCUAGACCAGCCAACGAAAGCUGCGUUGAACCUAUCCUGCAGCAGAAACACUGGUGAAGAAGCC
rnacentral:lncRNA from 1 species